CUAGUUGUAAAAAAGUUGUUUCUAGAAUUUUAAUGCACAAACUCCCAAACAAAAAGGAUAACCAUGUAUAUUUGUGGGAAUUUAGAUAAAACCCAAUUCACUUCUACCUAGCUACUGUCGACUGUUUUCAAAAAAAAAAGGGAAGAGAACAGAGCCAUCUUCCUCACCCUUCAAGUUUAAAUUCGUAGAGAUUUUCAAGUAGCAGCUGCACUACUUUAAAAGAAGAAGGUGAAUUUCUUCGAUUCUAUGUUUUCCUACAAUUCUAGCUUGAAGAAAGUUUAUUCCUUGAAUUCUAGGGUUCUUCGAAAUUUGGGAUUAUAUUCUAGAGUUGAAGUAUGACUUCAAUAUUGAUAUAUAUUGUGUUUUUGAUGUUCCUAAGCAUGAUUGUGGUGGGUAAUUGCAGUAAUUGUUACUCGAUUUUGGAUUUUUCUCAAGUUAGUUCUAGGUUGAGUUCGAAAAUUCUGAUUAUGUUCUUGAAUAAAUGAGUUUAUAUAUGUGCUCUUGAGCUGGAAUUAUGUUAUAUAUGAGUAUAUUAUGAGUUUGCACUCUAGGGUUGUGAGAUUGAUUUUGUUAGUUUAGGGGAAGUUGGGGCUUUUGAAUUGAGAAGGUUUAUAUGCUAUUGUUUGAUGGAGAUAUGUAUAUUAUGAUGUGAUUUUAUUAAUUAUGGAGAUUAGAACAGCCCUACUACCCAAUUCUUUUAUGAAGCUCUGUUGUAUAAAGAGAGGGAAGUGAUAAAGUUGCUAUGUGUAUGCAUGUAGUUGAGAGUAGUAGCAUUGGUGGGGUUUAAUUUUAGCUCAUUAAGGUUUCUUUUAAAGAGAUUGAGAUGAUUAAAGAUAUUAGUUUAUUAAACUAUAUAUGCAUAUGUUUAUUGAGAGUUGAUGAACAUCUUUUAACUCAUUCUUUUAUCUUUCCUUAUUGAAUUCAGAAAAAUGAUUUUAGUUUAUUGAUGAUGUGAUGUGAGGAAAUGUUAGGAUAAUAAGGGAAUAGCAAACAUGAGUUAUUAUUACAAUAUUAUAUUAUAUAUAUAUAUUUUCUUACUUAUUUUUCUUACAAAAUUUUAUCUAUUUAAAGGUUCCGGCUAGGAACGAGCCCGACACUAGAGUACGAAGUAAGAGAAACAUAUCAGGUGGGCUUACUAACUCAAGAAACAAUGAUGCAUACUUUAUUAUAUAAAGUUUAAGUGUAUGCAUUUAUUUUCAAAUUGUUGACUUGCCAAUGUUUAAGUUUUGUAUGAUACCAUCUACAUAGAAGAACGAAUUCGAGUCCUGAGCGAGUCAGGAUUUGUGUACACAGAGUGACGGUUAACCUUGAGUUAGCUUGUCGUUACGUUUGGGAAGGAGGCCUACUUCUCAACGUGUUUAUUGAGACUAGUAGAUAUGGUACAUACUUACAUGAGAACUUAGUCUGCGCAGACACUUUCAAAUACUAUGUAAAAACAGUUUAGCAAACACAGGUUGCUUCAGAAAAUCCCUUGUGUAUUGCUUAAAGUGGCAAGUUCAAUAUAUAGCAUUAUCAUGCAGAGUUUUAAAUUUUUUCGGCAUAUGUUCACUGAGUGUUUGUGGUACUCAGCCCUGCAUAUCUUUUUAAAUGUGCAGGUUAAGUUUGGAUGAAGAUGGAAGUGUGCUGAGCUGGAGCUUUUUGUUUAUGUAAAUAGUAAUAGGCUCAGGAUGUUGUGUCUUCAUACAUAAUGUCCCAUGAUGUACUCCGCUGCAACACUUUAUUUCUCUUAUCACUUUUGACGUGUUGUAGAAUGUUUUAAAACCUUAACCUGUAUAUGAGCGUGAUAAGUCUUGGUUAUGAUAUUUAUUUGGUCUAAACUUCUUUUGUUAAAGUUUGAUGGCUAUGUAUGUAAGUUAAUUAUACGU
rnacentral:lncRNA from 1 species